rnacentral:misc_RNA from 1 species
GUGAAUCAUCAAAUUUUUGAACGCAAAUUGCGCUCUCUUCGGAGAGUAUGCCUGUUUGAGGGUCAGCCUAAAAAAAAUCGAAAUAGUUGCUGUUUCGCGGUGACAUUCGUCGGAAAUUGGGUCAUCUUAAAUUUUUGGGUUUUAAGCGGCUUAAAAUUUUCUUUAUGAUUCCACGAACGUUUCUAAGAUUUUACUUCUUACACGUUUAAGGUAUUGAUCUUUAAUAGACGUGGCUGUUGAACCGGACCACGACUAUAAAUAUUACGUUAACU